rnacentral:rRNA from 1 species
UCGAGCGGACAGAAGGGAGCUUGCUCCCGGAUGUUAGCGGCGGACGGGUGAGUAACACGUGGGUAACCUGCCUGUAAGACUGGGAUAACUCCGGGAAACCGGAGCUAAUACCGGAUAGUUCCUUGAACCGCAUGGUUCAAGGAUGAAAGACGGUUUCGGCUGUCACUUACAGAUGGACCCGCGGCGCAUUAGCUAGUUGGUGGGGUAAUGGCUCACCAAGGCGACGAUGCGUAGCCGACCUGAGAGGGUGAUCGGCCACACUGGGACUGAGACACGGCCCAGACUCCUACGGGAGGCAGCAGUAGGGAAUCUUCCGCAAUGGACGAAAGUCUGACGGAGCAACGCCGCGUGAGUGAUGAAGGUUUUCGGAUCGUAAAGCUCUGUUGUUAGGGAAGAACAAGUGCGAGAGUAACUGCUCGCACCUUGACGGUACCUAACCAGAAAGCCACGGCUAACUACGUGCCAGCAGCCGCGGUAAUACGUAGGUGGCAAGCGUUGUCCGGAAUUAUUGGGCGUAAAGGGCUCGCAGGCGGUUUCUUAAGUCUGAUGUGAAAGCCCCCGGCUCAACCGGGGAGGGUCAUUGGAAACUGGGAAACUUGAGUGCA